UACUCAGUAAGGCAUUGUUCUUCUAUAUUAAUAAAUGAACAGUGCCUUUCUGUGUAGG
rnacentral:pre_miRNA from 1 species